CGACAGUAAGAAUGCCACAUGGAAUGUAUUUCCAUUAACCAGAUUAAAACAAUACUUGUAACAUACAGAUAUUAAAGGGUCACUAUAUAGUCACCAGAACAACUACAGCUUUUUGUGUUUGUUCUGGUGAGUAGAAUCAGUCCCUUCAGGCUUUUUGCAGUAAACACAGUCUUUUCAGAGAAACUGCAGUGUUUACAUUACAGCCUAGGGAUACCUCCACUGGCCACUCCUCAGAUGGCUGCUAGAAGUGCUUCCUGUGGCAGUGCUGCACAGUGUGACUGACAUUCAGUGUCUCCAUCCUCUGCAUGCAGACACUGAACUUUACUCAUGGAGAUGCAUUGAUUCAAUUCAUCUCUAUGGGGGAGAUGCUGAUUGGCCAGGGCUGUGUUUGACUUGUGCUGGUUCUGCCCCUGAUCUGCCUCCUUGACAGUCUUAGCCAAUCCUAUGGGAAAGUAUUGUGAUUGGCUCAGAAAAUCACUUCUGAUUAUGUCAGCCAAGCAGGCAGAUCUUGGGCAGAGCCAACAGCUGCAGACUUGAAUAGAUGUAAGGGAGGAAGAAGGGGCUAGAUUGUGGUUUUAACACCAUAGGGUCUGGAAUACAUCUAUGUGUUCCUGACCCUAUAGUGUUCCUUUGAUUUGAAUUAGCUUAG